rnacentral:lncRNA from 1 species
CGUGAAUAAUUUUUAUAGCGUAAAAGCUAAAUAAAUUUAUACAUACUUAAAUACAGUAAGCCAAAAUAUUUAAUUUAAUUUACAAUAACAAGAGUGCCCCCGAAUAAACAAAAGUAAAGAGGACUGUGAACCUACGGUUUGGAAAAUGCAGAUCCCACUGUAGUCCUCGAUGAGAUCAGCUAUCUACAGUCUAUACUGAACCUGAAAUGGGUGGAAAGGAGGGUGGUGAGAUUAUAAAAUCCCAAUGAGUAAACAAACAUCAUCAUAAACAUCUAGAGUUGAGUACAUGGAGACAAUAAAGUAAAUCAUCAUAAACUGGGUUAUAGCAUUAGAACACAUUUUGUUCAAAACACGUAAAGAGGCUUAUGAAUCUCAUAAAAAUCUAGGCUUGUGCCAUAAAUCCAUUCUCGGGGACACCUUGGCCGAGGCAUCCUACCGAGACCGCCAAGGCUAUUAAAAUUCACAUUUCACAUAAAUCAUGUUUUUGUUUUGAAAACAUAGCCGUUCCUUGGCGUUGGCUGAGUUCCCCCUCACGUGGUGGUUUAGCGUGAAGUGAACCCUAAACUUUACCCCAGGAGAUACCCUACGCGCCUCUCCGUUCGAGGUAAGAAUAUAAUGGGGUUUACCGUGCCCCUCUAAAAGGCUGGUCCACAGAAACCCCCUACUGCAGUGAUUAAUUAAUAUAUAAUCCACCAUAUAAUAAAACUCAAUAACAUGAUAUGGCAAUUUUGUAAUUCGUAGUUUUUCAAGGUAACCAAACAAUUCGCAUUUCAAUACAAUUGCCAACUAGCCAAUCAUGCUCGAUUUAUCAUAAGCCAGUUAAUUUAAACAAUCAAAUUGCCACAAUUAACAGUCUCCGUGUACUCUAUUUUUCAAAAUCACUAUUAAUUUCAAAACAAUUUAUAAUUUAAUUUCAUUGAAACUCAUUUAUUCAUAAAACAUGAAAAUUUAUCUUUUUAAAUUCCUUUUUCCAUAGAAUUCAUGAAAGCAUCUAAAAACCACCCUAGAUAAUUAAAAUGACAGUAAGUUUACUCACAAUGUCUAGAAUGCAGACUUUCGAAGCACUCUGUCUACUGGUCCUCGGAUGCAAUUUCCUUGCCUUUAUCGGAGGACUCACCACCUUGACACAGUACAAAAUCGAGAGUUUCACCAAGUUGGUACUAAAUCAAAAUUAAACUAAUUUAGACUACCAAUGCAUGAUAUGGAAUGCAAAAAUGCACUGGUAACUAUCUAAACCCGGUAUUGGCCUAAUUCGUCUUAUCACCCGAUUAAAUUCCUAACGGGUCCGUUUAAACUCCAAUUUAAUUCUUUUCAGUUUCUAUACCUCAAUUGCACCCAAAUUAACUUAAUGUCCCUCAGUGUGGUGCAAAUUAUCAGUCCCAACAGCAAAUUACGAAAAUACCCCUAGUGGGUAAAAAUUCGUAUUUUUGCUCCGAAAAUUCCCAUUAUUUUUCUAGGCUCAUAAUUCAUCAUUCCUUAACCAAUUCUCCUAGAAUAAAAUCAAACUCAUCCUCACUCACUACAUGGUAAAUUCAGCCAUUAAUGGUUGGGGGAGAAAAUAAAUUCUUUUCUUGUUGUUUUGUUUCUAAAUAUGCUAAACUAACUAAAAACACUAACAUAAAUUAAAAUCAAAUAAAUCCAACAACUUUCUCUCUCCUAACCCAUUUUUUCAGAAUUGAAUUCAUCAUGAAAACAUGUAAUUUAAUCAUGGAAAAUAAAGAGAAAUGCUUGGGAAUAAGAAAACUCAAGCUUAAUAGAAAAAAUCUCACCUUUUUCACUUAAUUUCCUUGAAAAUUCACACUUUUUCUUUGAUUUUCUCUCUCUAGGGUUUUGUUUUUUUUUUCUCUCUCUUCUUGCUGGUUUGGCCGGCCAUGGGGUGGAAGAUGGGCUGAUUUUGUGCCUUUUAAAAAGGAAAAUAAUAAAUUAAUAAAGGCAUGACACAUGGCAUCAUGUCAUUGGCCCGUUUUUAAAAUUUUAAAAAUUUAAACAUUUUAUCUCCACCACAUGUUUAGUCAAGGGUCAAAGAUGAAGACAAAGGAAGACCAUGUGCUGGAAAAAAUAUCCUGGUGGUGGAAAAUUACAAUUUUGCCCCUGAGGUGGCAAAAUUACCAUUUUACCCCUAUACUCCAAAUUAUACCGAAAUUAAAAUUUUUCACUUCUAAACCUCAAAUCAUACUUCAAUAAGUCAAAUUAUACUCUAAUAAGUCAAAUGGGGUCAAAAAAAUCUUUUCUAAAAUUCCCAUUUUGUCCCCAGGUGGCAAAUGACCAUUUUGCCCCUAGUUAGUGAAAAUUCCGAUUUGACUCCAAAUUGAUCCUCAAACUCCAAAUUACCAUUUUAAGUCAUCCAUGAACUGUGAAACUCUUAAUCUCACCUUAAAAUUCCUAUUUGAUCUAGUUCGAGGAUUAAAUAAACUUUGUUGUACCUCUAGGUACAAUACCGACUUUUGUAAAUUUUUCGGGACUCUCCUAGCAUGCAAUCAUGCUAUCAUCACAUGUAUGUCAUGAAUAGUAUUUUAUAAGGUCGGGCUUUACAGCACUACCCCCCUUAAAAUAAAAUUUUGACCUCAAAAUUUCACUUACCUGAUUCGAAUAAAAGAUGUGGAUAUUGGUUUCUCAUCUGGCUCUCGACUUCCCACGUCAUCUCCUCCAUUCGAGCAUUCUUCCACAAUACUUUCACCAUUGGAAUGCUCUUGUUCCUUAGCACUCGAUCCUUUCGAUCUAGAAUACGUACAGGCUGCACCUCGAACUUCAAAUCCUCAUGCAACUCAAUGGGAGGUGUCUCUAAAAUGUGAGAGGGAUCGGGAACAUACUUUUUCAACAUCGAGACAUGGAAGACAUUAUGAAUUCGAUCUAACUCUGGGGGUAAUUCAAGUCUGUAAGCCACUGGCCCAAUCCUUUCAAUGAUACGAAAAGGUCCAAUGUAUCUUGGAUUGAGCUUUCCCCUCUUCGCGAAUCGAAUCACACCUUUCAUCAUCCAAUAAAUACCACAAAUUAUCACAAUAGUAUAAUCAAAUAAGAUUUAAUACUUGGAAAUUUCAAAUUAUUACCUUUCCAAGGAGAAACCUUAAGAAAAACUUUAUCGUCGACUUCAAACUCCAAAUCUUUCCUUCGUUUAUCCGAAUAAUUCUUCUGCCUAUCUUGAGCUGUCUUUAAUCGCUCUCGGAUAACUUUGACCUUAUCGUUUGUCAAAUCAAUCAAUUCCACAUUCACCAAUUUCCUCUCACCUACUUCAUCCCAACAGAGCGGAGUUCGGCAUUUCCUUCCAUACAAAGCCUCGUAUGGUGCCAUCCCAAUACUAGACUGAAAACUGUUAUUAUAAGCAAACUCCACCAAUGGCAAGUGUCUGUCCCAACUCCCGAUAAAGUCAAUGACACAAGCCCGUAACAUAUCCUCCAAGGUCUGAAUAGUUCUCUCAGAUUGACCAUCUGUCUGUGGAUGAAAGGCAGUACUAAAUCUCAAUUUAGUUCCAAGAGCUUCCUGAAAUUUCGGCCAAAAUCGAGAAGUAAAUCGAGGGUCUCGAUCUGACACAAUAGAAACUGGGACUCCGUGUAAUCUCACAAUCUCAUCUAUAUAAAGUCUUGCCAGCCUCUCAAUAGAAUACGUGCUAUGGAUAGCCAAGAAAUGGGCGGACUUAGUCAAUCUAUCCACAAUCACCCAAAUAGCAUCCUUCCCACUUUGUGUCCGCGGCAAACCCAAUACAAAGUCCAUAGUCACAUGUUCCCACUUCCAUUCAGGAAUCGGUAAAGGUUGAAGAGUACCUGACGGUUUUUGAUGCUCCGCCUUGAUCUGUUGGCAUGUGAGACAUUUCGCUACAAACUCUGCUAUGUCUCGUUUCAUACCCGGCCACCAAUAACUUUCUUUAAUAGUCCGAUACAUCUUGGUGCUUCCGGGAUGUAAAGCGUAGGCGGAAGAAUGAGCUUCCUCCAAAAUAGCUCGUCUCAACUGAUCAUCCUUAGGAACACAAAUUCGGUCUCUAAGCAUGAAAGUACCAUCAUCGCUGAGUCUAAACUCACUAGCUUCUCCAUCUUGCAGCUUUUGAACUUCCUGUUUCAACCAAUCAUCAGAUUUCUGCAAUUCUCUUAUCUGAUUCAACAAUGAAGGUCUCACGACGAAACUAGCAAGUAGGGUUCCAUCCUCACCAUUAUUCAACUGGAUCCCUAGAGAUUUCAUCUCAAGUAACAUCGGAAAAUAAGAACUUUGAAGUGUUGCUAACGACGAUGAGGAUUUACGACUUAAGGCAUCCGCUACAACAUUUGCUUUUCCCGGAUGAUAAUCAAUCACUAAGUCAUAAUCCUUAAUCAACUCCAACCAUCGUCUCUGUCUCAAGUUAAGCUCUUUCUGGGUGAGCAAAUACUUCAAACUUUUAUGAUCAGAAAAAAUCCGACAACGCUCACCAUAUAAAUAAUGUCUCCAAAUCUUCAAUGCGAAUACUACUGCUGCUAACUCCAAGUCAUGAGUAGGGUAAUUCGUCUCGUGCUUCUUCAACUGUCGGGAAGCAUAAGCUAUUACUUUCUCGUCCUGCAUCAACACACACCCUAAUCCCAACUUAGAUGCAUCGCUAUAUACCACAAAUUCUUUUCCACUAACAGGAAGUGUUAAAACGGGAGCGGAGGUUAACCGGUUCUUUAGCUCCUGAAAUCGAUUCUCACAAACAUCAUCCCACUCAUACUUAACUCCUUUACGAGUCAAACGAGUCAGAGGAGCUGCUAUCAAAGAAAAUCCCUGAACAAAUCUCCGGUAAUAACCGGCUAAGCCAAGGAAACUACGAAUCUCAGUUACCGUUCUCGGUUGCUCCCAUUGCAAGAUUGCCUCAAUCUUCUUGGGAUCGACAUAAAUUCCAGCUCCGGACACCACAUGUCCCAAGAAAACCACUUCCUUCAACCAGAAUUCACAUUUAGAGAACUUGGCAUAGAGUUGUCUCUCGCGCAAAGUUUGCAACACAAUGCGCAAAUGGGCAGCAUGUUCAUCAUCAUUCUUCGAAUAAACCAGGAUGUCAUCGAUGAAUACUAUCACAAACUUAUCCAAGUAUGGAUGGAACACCCUGUUCAUAAGAUCCAUAAAAACUGCCGGGGCAUUAGUCAAACCAAACGGCAUCACCAGAAACUCAUAAUGCCCAUAACGCGUCCUGAAGGCAGUCUUAGGUACAUCCUGCUCCUUAAUCCUCAACUGAUAGUACCCAGAUCUCAAAUCAAUCUUAGAGAAUACCAUAGCACCUCGUAAUUGAUCAAAAAGAUCAUCUAUCCGGGGUAAAGGGUAUUUAUUCUUGAUGGUCACUCGGUUCAGCUGACGGUAAUCAAUACACAAUCGAAGAGUGCCAUCUUUCUUCUUUACAAAUAGGACUGGUGCUCCCCAAGGAGAAAUGCUAGGGCGAAUGAAACCUUUAUCCACCAAAUCUUGCAACUGGGCUUUCAGUUCCUUCAACUCUGCUGGAGCCAUUCUAUAUGGAGGAAUAGAAAUAGGUGCGGUACCCGGAAGUAAAUCAAUAGGGAACUCAAGCUCUCGAUUAGGAGGUAUUCCCGGUAAAUCAUCAGGAAAUACAUCAAGAAACUCACUUACUAUUGGGACAUCCUCUAACUUAGGUUCCCCCUUUGAAGUAUCGAUCACGUAUGCCAAAUAAGUCGGAUACCCUUUUUGCACUAAUUUUGAAGCUUUGAUGGCCGAGAUUACACAAGAUGGUAAUACUCGACGUUCCCCUACAAACACAAUCUCUGCUCCCUCCGAAUUCCGAAGAACAACUUCUUUUCGGAAACAAUCCACGUUCGCCCGAUGUGCAGUUAACCAGUCCAUACCUAAUAUUAAAUCAAAAUCCAAGAUCUCUAGAGGAAUUAAGUCACCCCUAAAUUCUUCCUCACCUACCCUUACCCCACAGUCUCUAUAACAAGUAUUUCUAAUCAACUGUUCUCCUAGAGGGGUAUGCACUACAAUUUCUCCCUCUAAUGGUGACAGGUUUCUAUCAGCAAUUGAUGCAAAUGUCGUACUCACAUAAGAUCUAUCUGAGCCAGAAUCUAUCAAAACAUAAGCAUCUUUAUCAAAUAAAGACAUAGUACCUGUCACUGCUCCAAGUCGGACCCGUGCCUCAUCUUCUGUCACAGCAAAAACUCUUGUCGCGGUACGAGUCUGUGGUCUCGAAGGUGGAUGUGUCGAGGUAUUACUUUCCACACCGGACAGUAUGGCUACUCCCUGUCUUGGUGGUAACCCAGAAGAAUCUCUCAUCUGCAUAUCAGUGCGAGCUGGUGGAGAUGAUGCAGCUACAGUGGUUCGUCCUAACUGUGGGCAAUUACUCCUAAUAUGACCCGUUUGUCCACAUUGGAAACAUCUUGUUGGCCCUCUACAUAGCCCACUAUGAUAAUUCCCACAAUUUCUGCAUUUGUCAGAACCUCCGAAACUCUUUCCAGAACCAGUCAUAGCAGAUCUGCUAAACCUCGAAAGUCUCUGCUGUGAUGGUGGAAAUGGAGGUCGAGGAGAUGUCACGAAAACAAAAGUAGUGCUCCCUGAAGUCGUUGAGUCCUUGCCACUUUUUACUGGCUAACUAGAAGACAUACCAAGAUUCCUCCUUUUUACAAACUCAGUCCGAAUCCUCCUAUUCUCAGUCGCGAGCUUCUCAGCCCGUAAAGCCAUCUGUACCACCUCCUUAUAUGGCUCCCUACCAGUCACUGUCAUUCGCUCUCUAAUCUCAUUACGAAGCCCUUCCUCGAAUAUAGCUGGCCUGAUCCUGUUCAGAUUUCACCAGAUCCGGCACAUAUAACAUCAACUCGUUAAAACGAGUCUCGUACUCCUCUACAGUUAGAUUUCCCUGUUUCAAACUCAGAAAUUCUCUCUUCUUUUCUUUCUGAUGAAAAUAAGUGAAAUACUGACCAUCGAAUUCCUUGAGAAAGUCGGACCAUGUCUGAGGAGUAGCGGAACGGGACUUCACCGAAUUCCACCAAGUACGAGCCCUCUUCUCUAAUAAUCUCGUAGCCACCAUCAGCUUCAUGUCGUCAUCUAAUCCCAUAUCAGAGAGAGUCUUUGAAACUUGAUUAAUCCAGUCCUUUGCCACAGUGGCAUCCAACUCACCCGUGAAAGAUACACAACCCAAUUGCCUAGCCUCCUUCAGCUUCUUGGAAAUGGAUACAUCCUUUACCGGUGGUGGAACUAAAGGAGUAGUUGGAGGCACUACAGGUGGAACUUGACCAGUUUGAGCUUGACCAGCCAUUGCUGCAAAGAAAGCUGCCAAUGCUUGUGCUGCCUCAGUAGGCAUGGCGGGAAUAUCCAUAGGUGGCUGAGGAGAUGGAGGAUGUGGAGGACUAUCGGCCUGCUCAGUAGCAGGUGGUGCCCGAAUGGUAGAUGCAGCUGAUUCCUCCUCUACUGUAUUUGGCUGAUGACGUUGGGAACGACCUCUUCCCCUCCCAACCGAUCUAGUGAGAGGUGGGCGUCCGCGUCGAGGAGGCACUGUAAUCUCUAUAAAAAAAAUACGAGCAAGUUUAGGUAACCUUACGCUCUAUAUGCAGAUGCAUACAUUCUAUUCAACUUACCCUAACUUAACUUAAUCCGGGGCCACACUGAUAUUGUAAAUUUUUAAAACAAUUUUAAAACUAAAAACUUUGAUCUUUAAAACCAAAAGCUCUAAUACCAAUCAAAUUGUCACGACCCGGUACUCCCCUCGAGCCCGUGACAACCGCCGUGGUGUCCUGGUAAACACUUAUUGCCCGGAAUGUCAACCCGAAACCCCGUAAGGCUUUUUUAUCAGUUUCUCUGUUCCCUUGUGAGCAACCAUUGUCAAAUAUCGUGUUCUAAAAGAUUUUAAGCUGUUUCCAACUUUAAACAAAUAAAUUAUUAAUUUUUCGUCUCACAGGGGUAUUUUGGUCAUUUUUCUCAAAAAUUUUGAAACUGGCUAAAACGUAAUGUACAAGUACAAAACACAUAAUUCAUAUUCAAAAUGAGUUUAAAAGUCUAAAAUCUUCAUUUAAAACGAAAUUAUGGUUAUUUGAAUAUAAUAAGAAAAUAAAAAAAAUAUUAAGUAAAAUAUUCUAUUUUCAUAUAAAACAAUAUUUAUAGAGUUAUACGUGAAUAAUUUUUAUAGCGUAAAAGCUAAAUAAAUUUAUGCAUACUUAAAUACAGUAAGCCAAAAUAUUUAAUUUAAUUUACAAUAACAAGAGUGCCCCCGAAUAAACAAAAGUAAAGAGGACUGUGAACCUACGGUUUGGAAAAUGCAAAUCCCACUGUAGUCCUCGAUGAGAUCAGCUAUCUACAGUCUAUACUGAACCUGAAAUGGGUGGAAAUGAGGGUGGUGAGAUUAUAAAAUCGCAAUGAGUAAACAGUCAUCAUCAUAAACAUCUAGAGUUGAGUACAUGGAGAUAAUAAAGUAAAUCAUCAUAAACUGGGUUAUACAAUUAGAACACAUCUCAUUCAAAAUAUGUAAAAAGGCUUAUGAAUCUCAUAAAAAUCUAGGCUUGUGCCAUAAAUCCAUUCUCGGGGACACCUUGGCCGAGGCAUCCUACCGAGACCGCCAAGGCUAUUAAAAUUCACAUUUCACAUAAAUCAUGUUUUUGUUUUGAAAACAUAGCCGUUCCUUGGCGUUGGCUGAGUUCCCCCUCACGUGGUGGUUUAGCGUGAAGUGAACCCUAAACUUUACCCCAGGAGAUACCCUACGCGCCUCUCCGUUCGAGGUAAGAAUAUAAUGGGGUUUACCGUGCCCCUCUAAAAGGCUGGUCCACAGAAACCCCCUACUGCAGUGAUUAAUUAAUAUAUAAUCCACCAUAUAAUAAAACUCAAUAACAUGAUAUGGCAAUUUUGUAAUUCGUAGUUUUUCAAGGUAACCAAACAAUUCGCAUUUCAAUACAAUUGCCAACUAGCCAAUCAUGCUCGAUUUAUCAUAAGCCAGUUAAUUUAAACAAUCAAAUUGCCACAAUUAACAGUCUCCGUGUACUCUAUUUUUCAAAAUCACUAUUAAUUUCAAAACAAUUUAUAAUUUAAUUUCAUUGAAACUCAUUUAUUCAUAAAACAUGAAAAUUUAUCUUUUUAAAUUCCUUUUUCCAUAGAAUUCAUGAAAGCAUCUAAAAACCACCCUAGAUAAUUAAAAUGACAGUAAGUUUACUCACAAUGUCUAGAAUGCAGACUUUCGAAGCACUCUGUCUACUGGUCCUCGGAUGCAAUUUCCUUGCCUUUAUCGGAGGACUCACCACCUUGACACAGUACAAAAUCGAGAGUUUCACCAAGUUGGUACUAAAUCAAAAUUAAACUAAUUUAGACUACCAAUGCAUGAUAUGGAAUGCAAAAAUGCACUGGUAACUAUCUAAACCCGGUAUUGGCCUAAUUCGUCUUAUCACCCGAUUAAAUUCCUAACGGGUCCGUUUAAACUCCAAUUUAAUUCUUUUCAGUUUCUAUACCUCAAUUGCACCCAAAUUAACUUAAUGUCCCUCAGUGUGGUGCAAAUUAUCAGUCCCAACAGCAAAUUACGAAAAUACCCCUAGUGGGUAAAAAUUCGUAUUUUUGCUCCGAAAAUUCCCAUUAUUUUUCUAGGCUCAUAAUUCAUUAUUCCUUAACCAAUUCUCCUAGAAUAAAAUCAAACUCAUCCUCACUCACUACAUGGUAAAUUCAGCCAUUAAUGGUUGGGGGAGAAAAUAAAUUCUUUUCUUGUUGUUUUGUUUCUAAAUAUGCUAAACUAACUAAAAACACUAACAUAAAUUAAAAUCAAAUAAAUCCAACAACUUUCUCUCUCCUAACCCAUUUUUUCAGAAUUGAAUUCAUCAUGAAAACAUGUAAUUUAAUCAUGGAAAAUAAAGAGAAAUGCUUGGGAAUAAGAAAACUCAAGCUUAAUAGAAAAAUCUCACCUUUUUCACUUAAUUUCCUUGAAAAUUCACGCUUCUUCUUUGAUUUUCUCUCUCUAGGGUUUUGUUUUUAUUUUCUCUCUCUUCUUGCUGGUUUGGCCGGCCAUGGGGUGGAAGAUGAGCUGAUUUUUGUGCCU